UUGAGCCUAGGGGGGCAGCAGUGAGGAAUAUUGGUCAAUGGUCGGGAGACCGAACCAGCCAAGCCGCGUGAGGGAGGAAGGUACAGAGUAUCGUAAACCUCUUUUGUCAGGGAACAAAGGCGGGGACGUGUCCCCGGAUGAGUGUACCUGAAGAAAAAGCAUCGGCUAACUCCGUGCCAGCAGCCGCGGUAAUACGGAGGAUGCGAGCGUUAUCCGGAUUUAUUGGGUUUAAAGGGUGCGCAGGCGGUCUGUUAAGUCAGCGGUCAAAGCCCGGGGCUAAACCCCGGCCCGCCGUUGAAACUGGC
rnacentral:rRNA from 1 species